rnacentral:rRNA from 1 species
GUGCCAGCAGCCGCGGUAAUACGAAGGGGGCUAGCGUUGUUCGGAAUCACUGGGCGUAAAGCGCACGUAGGCGGACGUUUAAGUCAGGGGUGAAAUCCCAGGGCUCAACCCUGGAACUGCCCUUGAUACUGGACGUCUCGAGUCCGGGAGAGGUGAGUGGAACUCCGAGUGUAGAGGUGAAAUUCGUAGAUAUUCGGAAGAACACCAGUGGCGAAGGCGGCUCACUGGCCCGGUACUGACGCUGAGGUGCGAAAGCGUGGGGAGCAAACAGGAUUAGAUACCCUCGUAGUCC